rnacentral:rRNA from 1 species
GAUGAACGCUGGCGGCGUGCUUAACACAUGCAAGUCGAACGGUGAAGGCGGAGCUUGCUCUGCUGGAUCAGUGGCGAACGGGUGAGUAACACGUGAGCAAUCUGCCCCUGACUCUGGGAUAAGCGCUGGAAACGGCGUCUAAUACUGGAUACGAGCUGCGAAGGCAUCUUCAGCAGCUGGAAAGAAUUUCGGUCAGGGAUGAGCUCGCGGCCUAUCAGCUUGUUGGUGAGGUAAUGGCUCACCAAGGCGUCGACGGGUAGCCGGCCUGAGAGGGUGACCGGCCAAACUGGGACUGAGACACGGCCCAGACUCCUACGGGAGGCAGCGGUGGGGAAUAUUGCACAAUGGGCGAAAGCCUGAUGCAGCAACGCCGCGUGAGGGACGACGGCCUUCGGGUUGUAAACCUCUUUUAGCAGGGAAGAAGCGAAAGUGACGGUACCUGCAGAAAAAGCGCCGGCUAACUACGUG